UCCCUGGUGGUCUAGUGGUUAGGAUUCAGUGCUUUCACUGCUGUGGCCGGGGUUCAAUUCCUGGCCAGGGAA